rnacentral:rRNA from 1 species
UCGAUGGAGAGUUUGAUCCUGGCUCAGGACGAACGCUGGCGGCGUGCUUAACGCAUGCAAGUCGAACGAGAUCCAUGCAGUGGCAACACUGCGGAAGAUCGAGUGGCGAACGGGUGAGUAACACGUGAGGAACCCACCCCGAAGACCGGGAUAACCCUCCGAAAGGAGAGCUAAUACCGGAUGCCCUCACCGGAUCGCAUGGUCUGGUGAGGAAAUGGAUUCCGCUUCGGGACGGCCUCGCGGCCUAUCAGGUAGUUGGUGGGGUAACGGCCCACCAAGCCGACGACGGGUAGCUGGUCUGAGAGGACGAUCAGCCACACUGGGACUGAGACACGGCCCAGACUCCUACGGGAGGCAGCAGCGGGGAAUAUUGCGCAAUGGGCGAAAGCCUGACGCAGCAACGCCGCGUGAGGGAUGAAGGCUCUCGGGUUGUAAACCUCUUUCAGCAGGGACGAUUGUGACGGUACCUGCAGAAGAAGCCCCGGCCAACUACGUGCCAGCAGCCGCGGUAACACGUAGGGGGCGAGCGUUGUCCGGAUUUAUUGGGCGUAAAGAGCUCGUAGGCGGUUCGAUAAGUCGGGUGUGAAAACUCUGGGCUCAACCCAGAGACGCCACCCGAUACUGUCGUGACUGGAGUCCGGUAGGGGAGUAUGGAAUUUCCGGUGUAGCGGUGAAAUGCGCAGAUAUCGGAAGGAACACCAGUAGCGAAGGCGGUACUCUGGGCCGGAACUGACGCUGAGGAGCGAAAGCGUGGGGAGCGAACAGGAUUAGAUACCCUGGUAGUCCACGCCGUAAACGUUGGGCACUAGGUGUGGGUCUCAACCAACGGGAUCCGUGCCGCAGCUAACGCAUUAAGUGCCCCGCCUGGGGAGUACGGCCGCAA